GAUGAACGCUGGCGGCGUGCCUAAUACAUGCAAGUCGAGAGACGCGCGGACGGGUGAGUACCACGUGGAUAACCUCCAAUAAGAUCGGGAUAACUUCGGGAAACCGGAGCUAUACUGGACACUUCUAGACGGAUCCACGCGGCAUUAGUUAGCUAGUAAGGUAACUGCUUACCAAGGCAACGCUGCAUAGCCGACCUGAGAGGGUGAUCGGCCACACUGGAACUGAGACACGGUCCAGACGCCUACGGGAGGCAGCAGUAGGGAAUCUUCCGCAAUGGGCGAAAGCCUGACGAAGCAACGCCGCGUGAGUGAUGAAGGUCUUCGGAUCGUAAAACUCUGUUAUUAGGGAAGCGGUACCUAAUCAGAAAGCCACGGCUAACUACGUGCCAGCAGCCGCGGUAAUUC
rnacentral:rRNA from 1 species